AGUGAACGCUGGCGGUAGGCCUAACACAUGCAAGUCGAACGGCAGCACAGUAAGAGCUUGCUCUUACGGGUGGCGAGUGGCGGACGGGUGAGGAAUACAUCGGAAUCUACUUUUUCGUGGGGGAUAACGUAGGGAAACUUACGCUAAUACCGCAUACGACCUACGGGUGAAAGCAGGGGAUCUUCGGACCUUGCGCGAUUGAAUGAGCCGAUGUCGGAUUAGCUAGUUGGCGGGGUAAAGGCCCACCAAGGCGACGAUCCGUAGCUGGUCUGAGAGGAUGAUCAGCCACACUGGAACUGAGACACGGUCCAGACUCCUACGGGAGGCAGCAGUGGGGAAUAUUGGACAAUGGGCGCAAGCCUGAUCCAGCCAUACCGCAUGGGUGAAGAAGGCCUUCGGGUUGUAAAGCCCUUUUGUUGGGAAAGAAAAGCAGCAGGUUAAUACCCCGCUGUUCCGACGGUACCCAAAGAAUAAGCACCGGCUAACUUCGUG
rnacentral:rRNA from 1 species